rnacentral:snoRNA from 1 species
UGUUUGCUGUGAUGAAUAACAAGGACGGUAUCUGAGUAAGUGUGGCUCUUGAAAAAGGCCUCCUACAUUGAUUACACAUCCUAAACUGGUCAUAUAUUCUGAGCAAAUG